rnacentral:rRNA from 1 species
UAAGGAAUAUUGGUCAAUGGAGGCAACUCUGAACCAGCCAUGCCGCGUGCAGGAAGACAGCCCUCUGGGUCGUAAACUGCUUUUAUUCGGGAAUAAACCUACUUACGUGUAAGUAGCUGAAUGUACCGAAGGAAUAAGGAUCGGCUAACUCCGUGCCAGCAGCCGCGGUAAUACGGAGGAUCCAAGCGUUAUCCGGAUUUAUUGGGUUUAAAGGGUGCGUAGGCGGCUUUUUAAGUCAGGGGUGAAAGACGGUAGCUCAACUAUCGCAGUGCCCUUGAUACUGAAGAGCUUGAAUGGACUAGAGGUAGGCGGAAUGUGACAAGUAGCGGUGAAAUGCAUAGAUAUGUCACAGAACACCGAUUGCGAAGGCAGCUUACUAUGGUUUAAUUGACGCUGAGGCACGAAAGCGUGGGGAUCAAACAGG